ACGUUGUGUGACAUGCCCGUUUCGGUGAUAUACUAUGAUAUUUAUUUAAUCUUUAAUUGUUUUGGGGUAACGGGGUGUUACAUUCCU
rnacentral:pre_miRNA from 1 species